GACGAACGCUGGCGGCGUGCUUAACACAUGCAAGUCGAGCGGUAAGGCCCUUUCGGGGGUACACGAGCGGCGAACGGGUGAGUAACACGUGGAUGACCUGCCUUUAGCUCUGGGAUAAGCCUGGGAAACUGGGUCUAAUACCGGAUAUGACCCUAUGGCGCAUGUUGUGGGGUGGAAAGCCUUGUGCGGCUAGGGAUGGGCCCGCGGCCUAUCAGCUUGUUGGUGGGGUGAUGGCCUACCAAGGCGACGACGGGUAGCCGGCCUGAGAGGGCGACCGGCCACGCUGGGACUGAGACACGGCCCAGACUCCUACGGGAGGCAGCAGUGGGGAAUCUUGCGCAAUGGGCGAAAGCCUGACGCAGCGACGCCGCGUGAGGGAUGAC
rnacentral:rRNA from 1 species